rnacentral:lncRNA from 1 species
AACCGCAUUAUGUUACAACUCAAACUUCAAUUAUCCCACAUCCAAUCCAAAACUCAAACUUAGUAUGCCUUAACCUUACUAUUAAAAAUGAUUUUCUCUUACUCACACUUAGGAUUUCAAUUUCAACCUUCUUAAAUCUCUCCCAGUAGUAUCGCACAUUCUUCUCAUCUUCUUUACCAUGUACGUUUCGCUUUUUCUACUCUAAUAUUUCAUCUCUUAUGUUCUUUCUUUUUUAUCUUUUAUGUUACUAUUUUCUCUUCCAAUUACGUUUUUAUCGCACAUUUCUUCUCAAUCCCGCAUCU